UACGGCUGGGUGUAAAUUCUC
rnacentral:siRNA from 1 species